rnacentral:rRNA from 1 species
GACGAACCGUGCGAACGUUAUUCGGAAUCACUGGGCUUAAAGCGCGUGUAGGCGGGAGGGCACGUCCGUCGCUGAAAUCCCCCGGCUCAACCGGGGAACGGGCGCGGAUACGACCUUCCUGGAGGGGCGUAGGGGGACCUGGAACUUCCGGUGGAGCGGUGAAAUGCGCAGAUAUCAGGAGGAACACCGGUGGCGAAGGCGGGUCUCUGGGCCGAUACUGACGCUGAGGAGCGAAAGCAUGGGUAGCGAACAGG